GGGCCUGGGCCGGGUCCAGGGCCUGGUCCGGGUCCGGGUCCAGGGCCAGAGCCCAGACCAGG
rnacentral:miRNA from 1 species